rnacentral:lncRNA from 1 species
CCAUGUAUGUGCAUAUAUAUAUAUAUAUGUUGAUUGUCUCAUCAUCGUGUGUAUACAUAUAUAAAAUAUGUAAUGUGUGUACCCCACUGAUGGAUUUCUUUGUUUUUGAUACUAGGAAUAUUUAAUUUUGGAGAAGGCAGAGCAUGAUGCUAGAACCCUCACGAAGCUUUUAGAGACGUGGUAGUUGGUGGCGGAGUGAGUAGGACAUGGGUGUACUUGUGCUAUUUGCUGCCUAGUGCUUGUGUGAUAGACUGCACCAGGGGUUUGUUGUGUAGUGCCUUUUGCUCACAGUUUUCCCUCGGUGGUGCGCUGCCGUGUGGUGCUGUGCAAGAGACUGCAGCGGGGCCUCGUUGUGUAAUGCCUUUUGGUCAGUCUUUUUCUUUGAUGGUGACGUCGCCGUGCAGUGCAAGAAACUGCUUGCAUAAUCGCUGCGAGGUUGCGUAUCAUUUUGGUUUUCUUUGCCAGUGUAACGUGCCUUGAAUGACCAUUCUGUAGCUGCCCUAUUUGCCGUGCUGCUCAAGUUUUGUGGUUGAUUUUUUUUUUUUUACGGUCAUGGUAUUUUUCAAGUGUUUUAAGAGCAACACCAUCACCAUUCUUGUGAAGGAAGGCGAUUUGCAAGAUAAGGGAACAACGUUGAAGCUUUAUGGGCCACUAACUGGU